GGAGAGAUGUCCGAGUGGCUUAAGGUGGUGGUCUCGAAAACCGCUGUGCGGCACAACCGCACCGAGGGUUCAAAUCCCUCUCUCUCCG
rnacentral:tRNA from 1 species